GCCUCCAGACGAUUCCAGCCCCCAACCUUCAAGCAUUCCCAGCUGAGGCCCCAGACAUUGUGGAACAGAGACAAGCUGUCCUUGCUGUGCACUUUCCAAAUCCCUGUUUUGCUAAACUGUGCUGGCCAUCUACCUUCACCACUAAACUAAUCAUCAAUUGCCAACGGAAGGCUACAUAACAGGGGUCUCACACUCAUAUGCCUGUAGGGACAAUGCAGUUAGCAUACAGUAGGGAGGCAGGCUAGGAGUCUAAAGAAAUAAAGAAUAAAUACCAACUGAUGCUGGGCCUCAGUAUCCGGAGGAAAACAGGAUGAGCCAGGACUGUGGUAAACACAGCACACAUGUCUCCUCAAACAGACACAAUCACAAUCACAGGUUUCCUGCAGGAAUAUGGGCCUGCUGCUGCCAGAGCUUUCAACUUUACAGAAGAGCCACAACUACCGAGCCUGCGUGCUACGACUCCUGAAGCCCGCACACCUAGAGCCCGUGCUCUGCAACAAGAGAAGCCACCGCAAUGAAAAGCCCAUGCACCACAACGAAGAGUAGCCCCCCACUCACCACAACUACAGAAAGCCUGUGCUCAACAAUGAAGACCCAA